AACUCGGUGAAAAGAUCCAUUGUGGAAC
rnacentral:piRNA from 1 species